ACUCAAAUGAAUAGACGGGGGCCCGCACAAGCGGUGGAGCAUGUGGUUUAAUUCGAUGCAACGCGAAGAACCUUACCUGGGCUCGAAGUACAGUAUAAACUCAUGAAAGUGGGGUACUCCCGCAAGGGAGGUGCUGUAUAGGUGCUGCAUGGCUGUCGUCAGCUCGUGUCGUGAGAUGUUAGGUUAAGUCCUGCAACGAGCGCAACCCUUGUCCUUAGUUGCCAUCAUUCAGUUGGGAACUCUAAGGAGACUGCCGACGUCAAGUCGGAGGAAGGUGGGGAUGACGUCAAGUCCUCAUGGCCCUUACGUCCAGGGCUACACACGUGCUACAAUGGCCGGUACAGAGCGUCGCAAGACCGCGAGGUGGAGCAAAUCGCAAAAAACCGGUCUCAGUUCAGAUUGCACUCUGCAACUCGAGUGCAUGAAGUCGGAAUCGCUAGUAAACGCGGAUCAGCAGGUCGCGUUGAAUACGUUCCCGGGCCUUGUACACACCGCCCGU
rnacentral:rRNA from 1 species